AUCACAGGGUUUUUAGAUUUCGGGGAAGCACACUGGAUUCUCCAGUUCAGCUCCUGCAGCGGUGCUGCAGUAGUGGGUAACUCACUGGACAGUCUGCCUGUCAGUCAUAGAAGGGUCGCACAGCUGCCUCUCGUGCAAGUGCAAACUGGAGCGCGUGGGGAAAGCUGCCUGUGCUGGAGGACUCGCCCGUGCCCAGAAUCGUCCCCGAAGCAAGAGGGCUUCCAAAAGUUUGCACAAAGCACACCAGGCUCUGGGAGAGGCUUUGACAGUGCACUGCCCGCUGCACUGCGCUCUGCAGUACGGGACGACGGGUUCUGUGCCUGCCUGAUCCUCUCAGUGCGAGCAAAGCUUCCUCAUUUCGUCACUUCCCAUCCCUUCUUCCAGGUGGCUGGGAACACCUUGGCGAGUUCCGGAAUCAUCCAACUGUGAGUUUAUCAGAAUUGUCAAAGUCGUAGCACUUGAACUUGAGAUUUAAAUCAUUACUGCGAAGAAGGGUUUCUUUUAGGAACCUGAUAUGCCUGUGCACUCAGCCUACUCCUGUUAGUUUCAAUAAUAGUGGCUAAUUUUAACUGCGUAAGAUUUUACAUAUUCUGUUGACUUACAUGGAUAAGUUCAUUUAUAUGAGAAAGAGAUAGGGACUGUGAGACAGAGAGAGAGAGAGAGAGAGAGAGGUCUUUCCCAUCUGGUAGCUUGCCUCUCAGAUGCCAGCUAGGCCAGAGCUGGGCCAGAGCCAAAGCCAGGAGGCAGGAAUGCAGCCCGCAUCUCCCACUGGACGUGCACCCAGGUAUGUGUUCCGUCAUGAGGUGGCCUCCAGGGUCUGCACAAGCCAAAGUCUGGCUCAGGAGCUUGAGCCAGGAAUCAGAUCCGGUCCUCAGAGAUGAAGCAGGCGUCUCACGCCCUUUGCUACGACAGUCCUUUGGUAUUUACUUUGUGCGACCUCAGCACUGUGUUCUGACUUCUCGGAGCCGCCCCGCUUCCUAAGUCUGCAACAUAACCCGGAAGCAAGGAGCAUCGCCGGCUCUUGACGCCGUGGACGCCUCUUUCCUCGACGUCCUCUCGGACGAGCAUCCAGAGCAGCACGGAACGGCGCAGUGGGCAUCACCGAGGGCUUUCUGAGCCCUGUGGAUGAGGCCGAGUCCUCCUGUGGAGGUUCUGUAAGUGUAUCACUGGUUUAGUAACUUGCUUUCUAGCAAUGGACACGCAAUUACAUAAAGUGCCUUUCAGAAUUAUUUAGGACAGCCAAGUGCUUUUUCUCCCUUUAAUGAUUAGUGUGAGACCUUAUAUUAUUAGUUUUCUGCUAAUACUAGUCACUCUUGAAUUAUUAUACUGUGGCCAUCAUAUGUCAUUAUUUUAGUAUGAUACAGAAAUCUGUUCAAAUUAUGGACAGAAUGCUUGCACGUUCUUUCAAAGACAGUGUGCUAUUUGAAUU
rnacentral:lncRNA from 1 species